rnacentral:rRNA from 1 species
GAUGAACGCUGGCGGCGUGCCUAAUACAUGCAAGUCGAGCGAACAGAUGAGGAGCUUGCUCCUCUGACGUUAGCGGCGGACGGGUGAGUAACACGUGGAUAACCUACCUAUAAGACUGGGAUAACUUCGGGAAACCGGAGCUAAUACCGGAUAAUAUAUUGAACCGCAUGGUUCAAUAGUGAAAGACGGUUUUGCUGUCACUUAUAGAUGGAUCCGCGCCGCAUUAGCUAGUUGGUAAGGUAACGGCUUACCAAGGCAACGAUGCGUAUCCGACCUGAGAGGCGGAACGGCCACACUAGAACUGAAACACGGUCCAGACUCCUAAGGGAGGCAGCAGUAGGCAAUCUUCCGCAAUGGGCGAAAGCCUGACGGUGCAACGCCGCGUGAGUGAUGAAGAUCUUCGGAUCGUAAAACUCUGUUAAUAGGGAAAAAAAAAUGUGUAAGUAACUAUGCACGUCUUGACGGUACCUAAUCAGAAAGCCACGGCUAACUACGUG